GAUGAACGCUGGCGGCGUGCCUAAUACAUGCAAGUCGAGCGAACGGACGAGAAGCUUGCUUCUCUGAUGUUAGCGGCGGACGGGUGUGUAACACGUGGAUCACCUACCUCUAAGACUGGGAUAACUUCGGGAAACCGGAGCUUAUACCGGAUAAUCUUUUGAACCGCAUGGUUCAAAAGUGAAAGACGGCCUUGCUGUCACUUAUCGAUGGAUCCGCGCUGCAUUAGCUAGUUGGUAAGGUAACGGCUUACCAAGGCAACGAUGCAUAGCCGACCUGAGAGGGUGAUCGGCCACACUGGAACGGAGACACGGUCCAGACGCCUACGGGAGGCAGCAGUAGGGAAUCUUCCGCAAUGGGCGAAAGCCUGACGGAGCAACGCCGCGUGAGUGAUGAAGGUCUUCGGAGCGUAAAGCUCUGUUAUUAGGGAAGAACAGAUGUGUAAGUAACUGUGCACAUCUUGACGGUACCUAAUCAGAAAGCCACGGCUAACUACGUG
rnacentral:rRNA from 1 species